GCCUAACACAUGCAAGUCGAACGAAGCACUGUGGAUAGAGACUUCGGUCAAUUGAAGCUUUGACUUAGUGGCGGACGGGUGAGUAACGCGUGAGGAACCUGCCUUUCAGAGGGGGACGAACAGUUGGAAACGACUGCUAAUACCGCAUGACACAGCGAGAUCGCAUGGUCUUGCUGUCAAAGAUUUAUCGCUGAAAGAUGGCCUCGCGUCUGAUUAGAUAGUUGGUGAGGUAACGGCCCACCAAGUCGACGAUCAGUAGCCGGACUGAGAGGUUGAACGGCCACAUUGGGACUGAGAUACGGCCCAGACUCCUACGGGAGGCAGCAGUGGGGAAUAUUGCACAAUGGGCGCAAGCCUGAUGCAGCAACGCCGCGUGGAGGAAGACGGUUUUCGGAUUGUAAACUCCUGUUCUUAGUGAAGAAUAAUGACGGUAGCUAAGGAGCAAGCCACGGCUAACUACGUG
rnacentral:rRNA from 1 species